rnacentral:rRNA from 1 species
GACGAACGCUGGCGGCGUGCUUAACACAUGCAAGUCGAACGGAAAGGCCCUGCUUUUGUGGGGUGCUCGAGUGGCGAACGGGUGAGUAACACGUGAGUAACCUGCCCUUGACUUUGGGAUAACUUCAGGAAACUGGGGCUCAUACCGGAUAGGAGCUCCUGCUGCAUGGUGGGGGUUGGAAAGUUUCGGCGGUUGGGGAUGGACUCGCGGCUUAUCAGCUUGUUGGUGGGGUAGUGGCUUACCAAGGCUUUGACGGGUAGCCGGCCUGAGAGGGUGACCGGCCACAGUGGGUCUGAGAGACGGCCCAGACUGCUACGGGAGGCAGGAGCGAGGAAUAUUGCACAAUGGGCGGAAGCCUGAUUCAGCCACGCCGCGUGCGGGAGGACGGCAUUCGGGUUGUAAACCGCUUUCGCCUGUGACGAAGCGUGAGUGACGGUAAUGGGUAAAGAAGCACCGGCUAACUACGUG